UACUUCCUCGGCGGGGCUGGAACUUUCAGGGAACUUUCAGGGACCUUGCUGAUGCUGCCUGAGUUCUGCUCACCCCGAGGCGCAGAAUAAAGCGGGUUCCCGUGCGCUGAAGCGCAGCAAAAUGGACCCCAGGUGUCCCUGGCACGGCACCAAGGGGGCGUGGACGGAGGAGCGCGCGUGGGAGGACGGCGGAGUGGGUGGGUGGGGAGACGAGCGCGGAGCAGGAAGAAGGCGGGGUGAGGGGUCCAGGAGAUCCGAGCGCGCGGAGAAAGAGACAAAGGGAGCCAGGGGUCGGAGCGCGGGACUGAGGCGCACAGGGCCCUUAGGGAACGGGGCUGCAGUAGCCGAGCCUUUUCCAUCCUCUUGUCUUGGGGUGCUGUAUUCGGGACCUAGCGGGAACAGUCCAGCCUCACACGGCCGGAGCUGCGAGACUGCGGCCCGGGAAAACCCAGGGGAGAGGGUGGGGUCGCUGAGUCACUGGCCGUGAGUCACGGCUGCCGGAGGGCUUCUAGCGGUUCGGGGGAAACCGUUAGCCCGAUCCGCUGGGCCCCGCGCGCGCGCGCGUGGGUCGCUCUGAGUUUUACCAACUCAGGGCCUGGUCCCCGCUUUGAUCCGAGCGAUCGGUUCUUAGUGAGCCGAGAGCGUCCCUAGGUUCUUCAGAACGCACCAAAGCCUGGCAUCGUUCCAAGGCCUGAACUUUUCCUUAGCAGAAAAGAAACUUCUGCAGAUCUUGGAGAGCCGCCAACUGCAGCUCUUCAGAGGUAUCCCCCAAAAUUGGACCUGAUGCAUUACAUGCAGUGAAACCCACCAAUCACAGCAGCUCCUCCUUCCAGCUUCCCUAUUUGGAGCAACACAGAAAAACAGCAAGAUUGGAAACUUUCAUCAUCUACCACUUCCUUACUCUCGGAUCACUCAGGUCCAAUGGGUGAUUUGAGAGUCUAUAUGAGGAAAAUAUCAAAGAUCCAUGAAAGUUAACACAAAGAAUGGCCGUUACACUGUUCUUGGUAAGGUGCAAAGCUGAAACUUCCUAUUCUAUAUUGAGAGAUUCAGUGUUGAGAAAAUUAAAAAGUAAAUUAUUGUUGUUUAUGUACUACAGAAAAAAGCAGGAAAGGUAUUCAGCAAGCUGUUAAAAGUGUUAGCUUUUGGGGAGUAGGAUAGAAUUGAGGUUUGCAGAAUAAUGUGUCUG